rnacentral:lncRNA from 1 species
UUUAUUUAACUCCCUACCUGCAAAAUAUUAUCACUAAUCCAUAGUACAAACGUCACUACCACAGAGUCUUACUUUGGGGGCUGGUGGGAUGGCUCAGUGGUCAAGAGCACUGGCUGCCCUUUUGGAGGACCUGGGUUUGAUUCCCAGCAUCCACAUGGCAUCUCAUCACUGUCUGUACUUCCAGUUUCGUGGGAUCUGAUACCCUCUUCUGGCCUCUAGAGGCACCAGGCACGGAUGUGGGAUGUGGUACACAGGUAUAUCUGUUCCACGACUAAAAUGUUUUUCUUACACACCUGUGCUUUGCAGGUAACAGUUCUGACCAGACACACCUAAAUGCCUGGUGGCCAAGAGUGGCUUCAACUUCUGACCAGGGCAGACUCUGUUCUUUGGGUUUCCACAUUUUUGUUACUUUGGGUUGAGACAGGAUCUUACUAUAAGGAUAGCCUAGGCUAAUCCUUAGAGUUGAGGCAAUACUCGUGCCCCAGUUUCCCUGGUACUAAGAUUAUAGGCAUGCACUACCAUGCCUGGCUGGGCUUUUCUCCUGUCCUCUCCUUCCUCCCCUCCCUCUUUAAGACAUGAUUGGCCUUGAGCUCAAUGUGUGUCCCAACGAUGACCUUGAACUCCUGCCUCCAGAAUGCUGGAAUUACAAGCAUGCAUCACCAGAGUUGUUUUUAUUUGUUGCUGGGAGUAGAACCCAGGGCCUUGUAUAUGAUAGGCAAGGACACUAUCAACUCCAUUCCCUAGCCCCUGGGCCUUUCCUUUCAAAAGCCACCACACUUUCCUUUACAUGGGUCUUUAUUCGCAAAAUAUCCACGGGUCUAUUGUGGGCUCCUAUGCUAUUUUAAACAUAAUUUCUAUUUGUGUAUUUAAAAGUGAAAAUAAAAACAAUUACUAGGGAGUGGAAAGCAGCCUGGAGGUGCCCUCCCACCCCAGCACAGACUUAUCUUGUUUUCUGGGGAGCCUGAACUGGAAAGGCCCGAUCCUUAGCCUGGGGGGGGAAGGGGGGGCAAGAUAAUGACAUAAUUAAAGCUUGUGGCCGGGCACUUUUGAUCUUCAAGGACCAGAGCCCACAUGGCUGAGGCUCCAUUUGGGUUAAUUGCCCAGAACCAAGAAAGCUUUGCCCAGAGAUAAAGGGAAACUGGUGUUUCAACAUUACAAAUUGUUCUGGGAUGGCUCUGGCAGAGCCUGGAUGCCUGGGGCCCAGCUGGCCCCACCCUUACAGAGAGGGUCCUGUGGGUUGCUGGGAGCUGCUGGGCGUAGAGACCACCUGCAGGGUGAAGCGCUGGCUUCCACUUUUGUUAUUUGUCUAGAUAAAGGACCGGAAUCCAGGGCUAGCCAGGGACAGAUCCCACCAAGACCAAAGUCAAGCAGCAGAGAGCAGGAGGACCUUCUGUGUGCGGUGUGUGUGUGUGUGUGUUGUGCAAACCUGGAGCUACCUGUCUAUAUUGCCUUCUCAUUCUUGUCUCAUGCAAAUGCUACCUGGGCCACUCCAUAUUCUUGGAUCUUCCAAGGGAUGGGGCACUUGGUGCCUGGGACUCAGUCUCACUUGCUCUAUGUAAUCGAUAGGAAGAGGGUCUAAGUUCCUCCACCUCAGAAUGGUUGCUUGAAAUUAUUUCACAGGACAAAAGACCGGCAUAGCUCAGUAUCGGUCAGUGCAGCUAAUGAGUAACAAUGACUGCAAUAAUUGAGCACGGAUAAUUGAGUUCCAAGCAGUUGAAGGGCACUGGCUAGGUGGAUGAGUCUCUGGUGAAAAGGUGUGCUUUACGAUUAAAAUGCUGGGCAAAUUGGAUGGUCUCCCUCGAUUCAGAUCUGUGACUACGCCUCCCCGUGUUCUUGGGGGUCUUGGGUUGAAAGGACACCAUCAAAGGUUAGAUGUUAGCUGCCCCC